UUACACAGAACCAUGCC
rnacentral:miRNA from 1 species